rnacentral:rRNA from 1 species
UACGUAGGGUGCAAGCGUUAAUCGGAAUUACUGGGCGUAAAGCGUGCGCAGGCGGUUUUGUAAGUCUGACGUGAAAUCCCCGGGCUCAACCUGGGAAUGGCGAUGGUGACUGCAAGGCUAGAGUUUGGCAGAGGGGGGUAGAAUUCCACGUGUAGCAGUGAAAUGCGUAGAUAUGCGGAGGAACACCGAUGGCGAAGGCAAUCCCCUGGGCCUGCACUGACGCUCAUGCACGAAAGCGUGGGGAGCAAACAGG